rnacentral:lncRNA from 1 species
AAAGAAAAGACAGAAACAAGCAAUCUGAGACCAGCUGUUAGUUCUGAAAAGAUUGAGACCAGAUGAGCAAGAAGCAGGUCAUAGUGGGCUACAGAUUCUCCCAAGGAGAGAAAGGACACCAGAGAGCCAGAUUCCUGAUGUUCCUAUGGAAGAGGACUCUCCUUCCAAUUCAUCCUCCUUCCUGCAAGCCAAAGAUGUCAACUUUAAUGGAAUUUCUGUGUUCACCUGUUACAAUAUAAGAGAGGGAAAGUAUCAUCAUCAUCAACAAUAACAACCACCACCACUGUAAACAGUGAAGCAGAAAGGAGAGAAUAACUCUAUAUCUCAAAUCCUGGGGGCAGUGAACAGGUGAAGAUGUCCCAGAGAACAUCAUAGUAAAGUCCAACAAUGGAGCUUCAUAACCAAGACCUGGAGAUAUCAGCGGUAGCUGAGAGCAUACGCUAAUUCUUGUUUCCCUUUCUUCCUGGGCUCCUGGGCUUCAGCAAUUCUGGAAGUUCUCUUUCCUGAGUGUUUUAAACUGCACUUCAGUGGCUGCCGCGAUGUCCUAAGUCAAGUAAAAACAUUUACCUCCCAUGGCCAUCUUGACUUUGGAAAGGAGCCAGAAGGUUUAUGAUGCCAGAUCUGGUGAAUGAGGUGAGGACACAGCACCACGUUGUUCUUUGACAGAAAUUGUCAUAAACAUUUUGACUUGAUUCAGGGGAUGAGGGGGCCACAACAGCACAACAAAGGCACUCACAAAUAAGGACUUCUAGAGUGGAAAGAAGGAAUAAGUGUACUGAAAGAUGGGGAAUUUUAUUCACUGUUUUAAAUUUGGAUUUUCACUGUAUUCCGUGAUCAUACCUCGCCCAUCACCUAUAGUUCUAGCGCAUGAAGUCUUUUAUAAGGGACCCUCCCUUCUC